rnacentral:rRNA from 10 species
GACUCUCGGCAACGGAUAUCUCGGCUCUCGCAUCGAUGAAGAACGUAGCGAAAUGCGAUACCUGGUGUGAAUUGCAGAAUCCCGUGAACCAUCGAGUCUUUGAACGCAAGUUGCGCCCGAGGCCAUCCGGCCGAGGGCACGCCUGCCUGGGCGUCA